rnacentral:lncRNA from 1 species
CCUAACCCUAGACCUCAUUCUAUUACUAAACCUAACCCAAAGUCUAACCCUAACCCUAACCCUUAUUCUGACCCUAACACUAACCCUAGGAUUAAGCCUGACCCUAAUCCUAAACCAAACCCUAACACUAACCCGAGCACUAAACCUAUAUCUAUACCUAACUGUAACACUAGCACUAGACCUAAACUUAAUCCUAAAUAUAGCCAUUAGUCUAGCCCUAGACCUAAACAAAUUCCUAGCCCUAGCCCUAACAAAAAAAAUUAACCUAACACAAAGACUCAACCUACCCCUAGACCUAAACCUAGUUCUAAUUCUGGCCCUAAUGAUAAUUCCAAUACUAACCUGAACACUGAGCCUUACCUUAACAUAAAUCCUAGCUCUAAACCUUAUCUUAAACCAAAACUUAAACCUAACACAGGAUUUAUCCAUAACACUAACCCUCAAACUAGCCAUAAACAUAACCCUAGCACUUACAUUACACAUAGCCCUAAUGCUAGCCAUAAAUCUAUACAAAUCAUAGGCAUAAACCUAGCCCUAAGCAUAACCCUAGCAUUAACCUAACCAAACCCUACCUUAAUGCUUGCCAUAGUCCUUACCCUAGCUCAAACUCUAACCCUUACCCUAAGCCUAACCCUAUCCCUAACCCUAACACUAAUCCUAGCCUGAAUCCUAACUGUAACCAUAGCCCAAAUCCUAGAUCUAACUUUAUCCAUUACAUUUAACAUAACCUUAACCCUAAUGCUAACCCUAGCCCUAACUCUAAACCUAACCCUAACCAUAGCCUUGACUCUAACCCUAAACCUCACACUAGCCCUAACCCAGCUCAAACCCUAACACUUACCCUAAACCUAAACCUAACACCAACCCUAAGCCUAACCCUAAUCCUAGCCCUAAUCCUAACCAUAACCCAAUCCCUAACACUAGCACUAACCCUAUACAUUACCCUAAACAUAAG